AUUGAACGCUGGCGGCAGGCCUAACACAUGCAAGUCGAGCGAGCGGCGGACGGGUGAGUGAUGUCUGGGAAACUGCCUGAAGGAGGGGGGUACUACUGGAAACGGUAGCUAAUACCGCAUACCAUCAGAUGUGCCCAGAUGGGAUUAGCUAGUAGGUGGGGGAACGGCUCACCUAGGCGACGAUCCCUAGCUGGUCUGAGAGGACGACCAGCCACACUGGAACUGAGACACGGCCCAGACUCCUACGGGAGGCAACAGUGGGGAAUAUUGCACAAUGGGCGAAACCCUGAUCCAGCCAUGCCGCGUGUGUGAAGAAGGCCUUCGGGUUGUAAAGUACUUUCAGCGGGGAGGCGUUACCCGCAGAAGAAGCACCGGCUAACUCCGUGCCAGCAGCCGCGGUAAUAC
rnacentral:rRNA from 1 species